UACGUAGGGACCGAGCGUUGUCCGGAUUCAUUGGGCGUAAAGGGCGCGUAGGCGGCCGAGCAAGUCGAAUGUGAAAUGCCCCGGCUCAACUGGGGACUGGCAUCCGAUACUGCUUGGCUCGAGUCCUGGAGAGGGUAGUGGAAUUCCCAGUGUAGCGGUGAAAUGCGUAGAUACGUGGGAGGAACCACCGGUGGCGAAGGCGGCUACCUGGACAGGUACUGACGCUGAGGCGCGAAAGCUAGGGGAGCAACAGG
rnacentral:rRNA from 1 species